UCCGGUUUUUUAUCCCCGAGGAUCGCUCCUCGGGGCCGCGAUAUGACUCACGGCACGAGCUGACGACAGCCAUGCAACACCUAUCGAGGGCCCUUACGGACACUGCGUCUCUGCAGCUUUUCCCUCGUAGUUCAGCCCAGGUAAGGUUCUUCGCGUUGCCUCGAAUUAAGCCACAUGCUCCGCCGCUUGUGCGGGUCCCCGUCAAUUCCUUUGAGUUUUAGCCUUGCGGCCGUACUCCCCAGGCGGGGUGCUUAAUGCGUUAGCUGCGGCACGGAAGACGUCGAUAGCCUCCCACACCUAGCACCCAUCGUUUACGGCUAGGACUAC
rnacentral:misc_RNA from 1 species